GAGUUUGAUCUUGGCUCAGAUUGAACGCUGGCGGCAUGCCUUACACAUGCAAGUCGAACGGUAACAGGUCUUCGGAUGCUGACGAGUGGCGAACGGGUGAGUAAUACAUCGGAACGUGCCCAGACGUGGGGGGAUAACGAGGCGAAAGCUUUGCUAAUACCGCAUACGAUCUAAGGAUGAAAGCAGGGGACCGCAAGGCCUUGCGCGUUUGGAGCGGCCGAUGGCAGAUUAGGUAGUUGGUGGGAUAAAAGACUUACCAAGCCGACGAUCUGUAGCUGGUCUGAGAGGACGACCAGCCACACUGGGACUGAGACACGGCCCAGACUCCGUACGGGAGGCAGCAGGUGGGGUAAUUUUGGACAAGUGGGCGAAAGCCUGAUCCAGCAAUGCCGCGUGCAGGA
rnacentral:rRNA from 1 species